UGGGGAAUAUUGGGCAAUGGGCGCAAGCCUGACCCAGCAACGCCGCGUGAAGGAAGAAGGUUUUCGGAUCGUAAAGCUCUGUCUUUGGGGACGAACAAAAUGACGGUACCCAAGGAGGAAGCCCCGGCUAACUACGUGCCAGCAGCCGCGGUAAUACGUAGGGGGCAAGCGUUGUCCGGAAUCACUGGGCGUAAAGAGCACGUAGGCGGUCUAUUAAGUUAGAUGUGAAAGUUUGCAGCUUAACUGUAAAAGUGCAUCUAAUACUGGCAGACUUGAGUCUCGGAGAGGUAAGCGGAAUUCCUAGUGUAGCGGUGAAAUGCGUAGAGAUUAGGAAGAACACCGGUGGCGAAGGCGGCUUACUGGACGAGUACUGACGCUCAGGUGCGAAAGCGUGGGGAGCAAACA
rnacentral:rRNA from 1 species